AUGCACAUACCAUAUUUUUCAAUCAUACGUAGGUAGGUGUAUGUAACUUGUUUGGUAAAUGAACAACUAAUACUCGUGACUAACAUUAUUUUACAAUUUUAUUUAUUGUUCUGCACAAUACGAAUGCACUAAUCCACUGGAUAUGACAAAAUUGAAGAUUUAGAGUAUCAUCAACAGGUACUAAUCGAUUCGAAUAUUAAAUAUAAUAAUUGGACUGUUUCAGUCGUAAUUAUGGGUAACAAAAUAAGGUGCUCUAUGGAACCGAUAAUCUUUUAACAGUCUGUUUCAUAAGUAAAUAAACAAUGUGGCGGCUCGGAUUUAAAAUACGAAAUUUGCUAUGAUAGUGUGCGAGUUUUAGAAUGAAGAAACAGAAAUAAAAGGAGAAAACUGACCUAAGAGCCUAUCUCACUCUUCUAUACUUUUCAGACCUUCAAACUGCAGGUAUAAGGAAUACCAGUGCUGGUACAGGUUAUUUCCUUUUUUUUUUUUUUCAAGGGAUGUUCCAGCUCUUUCUCUUUUGCACCUGAAGUAAAGGUCAGUUAUUUACCGGUAUAACUGCGCUCCAGCCUUUGGAAUGGAUAAAGCUAAUCCAGAAUGGUGAUUCCUAAAGAAGCUCCAGGCCGCAGAUUUUGUGAGGACCUUUCGAGUGUUCGCGACAGGAUACCGAACGAGCCAGCGACGAUAAACGACAAAAAAGAAAAGAUGAGAGUACAUGGGGUUUGGUAGCGCGGGGCGAGAGGAGCAUCUGGUGUCCAGGCCAUAGCAAAAAGUAAAGCGGAAAUUUCUUUGAAAUCCUCUAGAGUGAAAGAGAGAAUACAAGCGGAUGAUACCACAAGGCAAAAAGGGAAAGAGAA